rnacentral:tRNA from 1 species
AGAGAGGUUGUUCAGAGGGUAGAACAUAUGCUUUGCAAGCAUGAAGCCCCAGGUCUGAUCACUGGUCUUUCAU